rnacentral:tRNA from 1 species
GGAGAGGUGUCCGAGCGGCCGAAGGAGCACGCUUGGAAAGCGUGUGUAGGUUCUCCCUACCGUGGGUUCGAAUCCCACCCUCUCCGCCA